GUUUGUUUAUUUUCUAUUAAACCCUUUCACCAACUCCACUCAUCCUGCAUUUGGGUCCUACCUCAAAACUCAUCAUAACAGUGGUCUUGGGUUUUUUCUUUGGUAUGGAUUGACAGCUUGAGCAGAUGACAUCGUGGAAGCCCAAACACACACUGUAACUGAUAAUGACCAUGGGGGCUGUACAUAGGAUCUUGUGGCACUCAAAUGUAACAUCUGAGUCAGCUAUUGCCAGCCUUCAUUUCCAUGAUAUCGGUUCAAGAUUCUGCAGAAUUGGAGAGACACCAGCUCAGUUCGUAGCAGUAGCAACUACAAAUGGUCCUUCUGCCACCGGAGGGUGCCACAGGGUGCCAGACCAGCAGUAAUAGCCUCUAAGAUGCUGCCACGCCGACUGCUGCUGUUUCUGUUGAGCCAAAAGCUGCCUAUUGGAAAAUGGGUUGUCGUUGUAGUUAUUAGCUGUUGACUGUUAUUCAGUUACCUCUUUCAAAUGAUGAUGUCAUUAUUAGUUAUUAUUUAAUAAAACCUGUUAGACCUAUAAUAAAGGUUGACUGUAUUUACUUGAGAUAGAAACUAUGUCCUAAAUAGCAUUAUGUGUAUGUAUGACGUG